rnacentral:rRNA from 1 species
AGCGAACGCUGGCGGCAGGCCUAACACAUGCCAGUCGAACGAACUCUUCGGAGUUAGUGGCGGACGGGUGAGUAACACGUGGGAACGUGCCUUUUGGUUCGGAAUAACUCAGGGAAACUUGUGCUAAUACCGAAUGUGCCCUUCGGGGGAAAGAUUUAUCGCCAUUAGAGCGGCCCGCGUCUGAUUAGCUAGUUGGUGAGGUAACGGCUCACCAAGGCGACGAUCAGUAGCUGGUCUGAGAGGAUGACCAGCCACACUGGGACUGAGACACGGCCCAGACUCCUACGGGAGGCAGCAGUGGGGAAUCUGGCGCAAUGGGCGAAAGCCUGACGCAGCCAUGCCGCGGGAAUGAUGAAGGUCUUAGGAUUGUAAAAUUCUUUCACCGGGGACGAUAAUGACGGUACCCGGAGAAGAAGCCCCGGCUAACUUCGG